rnacentral:rRNA from 1 species
AAAGAAAAUAACAAUGAUUCCCCUAGUAACUGCGAGUGAAGAGGGACAAGCUCAAAUUUUAAAUCCAUCGGGUUUUACCCGAUCGAGUUGUAAUUUGAAGAGGCGUUUUCUGUGUUUCUGAUCAGUCCAAGUCCUUUGGGAUAAGGCAUCAUGGAGGGUGAGAAUCCCGUCCGGUUGAUCAGAUUCGCUUUACGAUACGCUUUCUAAGAGUCAAGUUGUUUGGGAUUGCAGCUUAAAAUGGGAGGUAAAUUUCUCCUAAGGCUAAAUAACGGCGAGAGACCGAUAGCGAACAAGUACCGUGAGGGAAAGAUGAAAAGAACUUUGAAAAGAGAGUUAAAUAGUACGUGAAAUUGUUGAAAGGGAAACGAUUGAAGCCAGUCGUACCUUCGGGUAAUCAGCCUUUUGGGUAUGAUUUUGUGGAACGUGAGGAGUUAAACGCCUUCAUGCCUGCAUAUUCGUGCACUUUGGGUGUACUUGCCCGUAUGGUUGGUUAACAUCAAUUUUGAUGGUCAUAAAAUGACUGGAGGAAUGUAGCUUCGAUCUCGUAUUGAGGUGUUAUAGCCUUCGGUAGAUGUGAUGAUCGAGAUUGAGGAUUGCAACGGAUACCCUUCGGGGCUACCUGUCUGAUCUCUGAUCGUUGCUCUGGUGCCGAAAGCUUGCUUACGGUUAUCAAAGUCGAUGGUCAAUAGGUUAGAACGGGUUAAAUU